AUAAAAUGUUGAUUUCCCUCCUGUUUAAAUGCUCCGUAUUGACAACAUCUAGUUCAGUACCUACCUGAGAAGUGGCAGAAUCAAAACCACCGCUGACACAGCCAUCGCAGUUUUCACAAGAAAAGUGCCGAUCAUUGAAAACAGUGCAGCCAGAUUGCUUCAUGGCCGCAAUAAGCAGUUGAGCAUAUGGAUCUGUUGUGGAAGGUGAAGAGGCUGCGAACCAGGAAGCUCUGCGGCUCUUUGUUGCGAUCGGGGAAGAGCCGGUAUCCGAAGUCAUCCUCCUCCUCCCCACCCUCAGCACCAGGCGGCGAAGCAGUCUUCCCGUCCUCCAUUGCCGUCCCCUACUCCCUC
rnacentral:lncRNA from 1 species